CUACUAUUAAAUCUAGGGGAAUAGAAUUGAAAGAUAAUCAUUUUGACCCAUCUAUCUGAAAAGCAUGAAAAAUUUCUCAGGUGUUAACUCAGCUUAUGUGACUACAUUCAAGCUCUGCCUGCCUGCAAGCAUUAGGGCUCUUUCCACUCCCCAUUGAGAGAAUCGCCACUAUCCCACUAUCUUAAGACAAGCCUGAAGAAGUAGGAUCAUGGAGCUCCAAGGAAGACUUCCUCAAGACCUGGGAAUUCAUGAAUGCCUCCCUAAAAGAGAUGACACCUGAACAGUGGGCCAAUUUUUUUGGAAAGAAGAAUGGAUAUUGAGAGGUCAUGACUUUGUUAAAAGCCAUAGAAAAGAAAAUGAGUUGCCUGCCUUCCAGCAGCCUGCUCGGGUCAAAAGACCUUAAUUUCCUUCUCCUGUCUUCAGUUGGAGAAGUCUUGUACCUAGAAAUUUCACUAACAUCUUGCACGAUGAAACUUGAAAGUGGUAGAACAUGAGGAGACGCUUCCUUAAAUCCUUAAACCACACCCUGAAAAUUCUGGAGGCCACGCUUAGAGGC
rnacentral:lncRNA from 1 species